UACGUAGGCAGCAAGCGUUGUUCGGAAUUACUGGGCGUAAAGAGUGUGUAGGCGGUGUUCUAAGUUUGUCGUGAAAUCUCCCGGCUUAACUGGGAGGGUGCGGCGAAAACUGGAAUGCUAGAGGAUGGGAGAGGUAAGCGGAAUUCCUGGUGUAGCGGUGAAAUGCGUAGAUAUCAGGAGGAACACCUGUGGCGAAAGCGGCUCACUGGACCACAACUGACGCUGAGGCGCGAAAGCUAGGGGAGCAAACAGG
rnacentral:rRNA from 1 species